rnacentral:rRNA from 1 species
CCUACGGGGGGCAGCAGUGAGGAAUAUUGGUCAAUGGACGAGAGUCUGAACCAGCCAAGUAGCGUGAAGGAUGACUGCCCUAUGGGUUGUCAACUUCUUUUAUAUGGGAAUAAAAUGUUCCACGUGUGGGAUUUUGUAUGUACCAUAUGAAUAAGGAUCGGCUAACUCCGUGCCAGCAGCCGCGGUAAUACGGAGGAUCCGAGCGUUAUCCGGAUUUAUUGGGGUUAAAGGGAGCGUAGGUGGAUGGUUAAGUCAGUUGUGAAAGUUUGCGGCUCAACCGUAAAAUUGAAGUUGAACCUGGCAGUGUUGAGUACAGUAGAGGUGGGCGGAAUUCGUGGUGUAGCGGUGAAAUGCUUAGAUAGCACGAAGAACUCCGAUUGCGAAGGCAGUUCACUGGACUGCAACUGACACUGAGGCUCGAAAGUGUGGGUAUCAAACAGGAGUAGAUACCCUGGUAGUC